AACGAACGCUGGCGGCAUGCCUAACACAUGCAAGUCGAACGAGACCUUCGGGUCUAGUGGCGCACGGGUGCGUAACGCGUGGGAACCUGCCUUUAGGUUCGGAAUAACUCAGAGAAAUUUGAGCUAAUACCGGAUGAUGUCUUCGGACCAAAGAUUUAUCGCCUUUAGAUGGGCCCGCGUUGGAUUAGCUAGUUGGUGGGGUAAAGGCCUACCAAGGCGACGAUCCAUAGCUGGUCUGAGAGGAUGAUCAGCCACACUGGGACUGAGACACGGCCCAGACUCCUACGGGAGGCAGCAGUGGGGAAUAUUGGACAAUGGGCAAAAGCCUGAUCCAGCAAUGCCGCGUGAGUGAUGAAGGCCUUAGGGUUGUAAAGCUCUUUUACCCGAGAUGAUAAUGACAGUAUCGGGAGAAUAAGCUCCGGCUAACUCCGUG
rnacentral:rRNA from 1 species